rnacentral:lncRNA from 1 species
GGCAUAUGGAAGUUGCCAGGCCAGGGGUUGAAAGGGAACUGCAGCUGCUGGCCUACACCACAGCCACAACACUGCCAGAUCUGGAGCCACGUCUUCGACCUAUACCACAACUCACAGCAAAGCCAGAUCCUUCAUCCACUGAGUGAGGCCAGGGAUGGAACCUGAAUCCUCAUGGGUACUCGUCAGGUUCAGAACCUGCUGAGCCACAGUGGGAACUCCAAAUGAGAACCAUCUUAGAGAACCAUCAUAAAGCUAAAAAAAACUUAAAAUAUUUCAAGAAUUCCUUUCUACUUCUCAAAAUAAUCUGCAACAACUUCCAAAACAUUAAAAAAUAGUGAGUGUCCUUAGCAAAGAGAAGUAUAAUGUCCACUCAGAGGACUGAACAAUUGGGCAGGAACAAUACAGAAUGUUUCAAGUUCUCAUAAUUAUCCACUUAGCCACAAAUAUGCUAAAAACUGAAAAAGCCACCUGGACUUUAAAUGAUUGUUGGAUAACUGAGUUCAAAUGAGAAUUUCUUAUAAUUAAAGAGAAACAAAGGCAAGAAAAAGCCCCUGAAAAAGCUGUCAGACCUUCUACAUUGUAUUCAUUUUUUGUUAUGUAUUAUCUUUCAUAUCUAGCACAAAUAUCUACUUCUUUGAAUUCCUAAAGCUCUGCCGUUUUCUAGACACAUGCAAUAAAUUAAAAUUUGAUCCUGCCUGCUGAUAGAUUGAUGCUGUGUAGCUCAUAAUUUUAAAUUGAAGAGCAAUCAGCCAGAAUCCACAAGUCAAUUCAACUCAGCAUACCAUUAUUAAUUAACAUUUAAUGAAUACCCGUGGGUGUCUGCAGCAGCAUUACAAGUCAGGAAACCAGUUGCUGUUUGGGGGCAUGUAGUCUAAUUCAUAUCUAAUUACCAACCUAAAUCGGGUUCAACUCUGAAUACAGACUGGCAGAUCGAUGGGCAUAUUGCUAUAGAGGCAAGAUUCCUAAAAACAAACCCAUGAGAAAUAACAGAAUACUUUUCAAAAUAUAAUUUAAGAAAGCGACUGAAGAGCUCAUCGAUAGAGGCCAUCUUUCCUGAUCUCUUUUUUGUGGUUAUUGAAGAAGAAUGUUUUGUAGUUGAAAGCAAGAUUACAUCAAGGUCAUUGAGUUUCCCUUCAGUGGAGUCCAUCAACACCAAAGUUAGCAAAUUCAAUAUUUUAGAUAAUAGAAAAACCUGAACCUAUGCAGGAGGGAUGAAGAAAGCAAGCCUGAACUAGCUGUAACCGUUGUGGAAAGAUCUUUCUUUAAUAUGUGGACAGAGGAUUGGAGAAUUUCAUGACUCUAUUCCUUGAACCUUAUUAUUUGUUGCUCUUGAAUAUGCACAGAAGCUUGACCUAAAAUAUACUGGAACCCACGAGGAAGACCUCCUGGUGGUUUGCAACACACUACAGAGGACGAAGUGAGCAAAAACAGGUGAAAUUAUUCACUAUCGAAAUGAAAUGCCAGCAGAGAACAACCAUAAACAGGAAACAGUGGGAGUGCUUUACCAACUGCUAGGUAGCAAUUUCAGUGCAAAAGAAAAACAAUAAACUUAAAAUUAAUUGAGUGCCACACCUACUUAAAUUUUACGUACUUUCAGGAUUGCCAAGGCACUGUGGAGAGUACAGAAGAGAAUUUAUGAUAUGCUAUCUCCACCAGGACAUUACAAUCUCAUGAAGGAGACAAAACAUGAAAUGGAAGAAGAUUACAGAGAAAGCAUGAACUGAACACAGUCAGGUGCAAUCCUUUAUGAAACAGAGAAUUAAAUGCACUGUUUAAUAAGAAAGUAAUAAGUAAACAGUCACUUUUCAGGAAGAAUGUUCUGAAAGCAGGGGACUUUGAGAAGUGUUUUGACAAACAGUUUCAAAGUUGAGGUGGUGUUGCAGACGGGGAGGGAACACAAGUGCAUGAGGGCACAGCGUGUGUGAAGACCUGGCUGAGCUGGCCCUUCUGCAGUGAAGUCUCAGACUGAGUUGGCUUUCACAUGCUCUGGAUUUCCUCCAGCCUAUGUCUGAACUCUGAGAAGCUCCUCAGCCCCACCAGAGCAUUUUCUGGUCCCAUUUUCUUGAGCCUUCCUAAGUUCUUCCUGUUUAUUGCCAUCAUUUUCCAGGUUCAGGGUUGGCAAAUAAUUGCCCCAUUCUUAGAAGCUUCCUAAACUAGAGAGAGUAGCAACAGGGUGUCACUUUUGGGAUGAAAUCCUCAUAAGCAACAUGACAUGGCAGGCACCAAACCAGGUCAGAUACAAGGAUGAUUAGGUCAUGAUUCUUGUUCAUUAGUAGUGAGUGUGUCAUCUAGCAAGGGAAAUUAAGAAGUAUAGGAAUAUCCACUUUUUACUCUUAGUAAAAGCAGGGGCAUUGUGAGUAAAUACAAUGCUUACACACAUACCAAUGCAUAUACAUGCUGACACUUUUGCUGAUAAUGACAAUGUGUCAGACAGGAAUUCAUUUGCACAUAAAGCUAGAAGAAAAGAGAAAAUAUAUAAUGUUAAAAUCAUUCAGGAAAUCAAUUUUAAAAAGAGUAAGAAGUGCAGCAUCCUUGAUAAGCAUCAAAUAAUACUUCUUUUAACUGAAUUCAUCCGGAUGCAUCUACUUAGUUUUCAUAAAGGGAUUUAGGUGAGAAAAAUCUAUUAAAGAUUUCAAUUCAUGUAUAAUUUUAAACAAAAUAAACUAGAUUUGUUUGGCUUUCCAAUAGUAAGGUGGCAGCUACAGGAAUACCAAAGGAUAAACUAGCCACAGGGGGGCUUUCUCUUUUUUUAGAACGUGGGAGCAUAUGAACACUAGGAAUAAAUUAACAACUACAAAGAAACAAAGUGGUAACUUGAAAAUCAAAAAAAGGGGCUCAGAAUUUGAUCAAGGCUGAAUCCUGAUUCCACAGCAAGAUGUCUGACCAAGCAAGAUUUCAUGCAAAUCAUAUAUUUUUUUUCAUCUUGCAUCUACAAUAAAGAUAAAAAAAAAAUCAGUCACUUCUUUGCGUAUUCAGUCUACAUCUUUAUCAAAUGUGCCCUCCUGCCAGGACUUUAACCUUCUCCUUUAUUUAAAUUAGCAAUAAUAAAAAACCCUCUCAUUCAUAAAGAAUGAUGAGAACUAGUGGGUGAGGGGACUCUGCCCUGAAGAGGAAGGACAAACCUAUUCAGGAGACCACUCAGGUCACGAAGCUCAGCCACCAUCUGCCUUAUCCUGCUCCUCAUGAAAUGUGGGCUGUGACUCAAUCUGUUAAUUGAUGCCAAACAAUGCUGAAAACUUUCCUGUUCAAUAUUCGGCACUAAACAAUCUCAAGUACUUGAUGAAGUUUGAGAUUACUGUUUACUUAUAUGAAAUGUGGGGUCUAUGUGGUGAGUUUCUUCCCCUACAAUUUUCCAGAGGCCUUUUGAGUUUUCCGCAUAUGUCAGUUUGUAGAGUCAAGAUGAAAAUGGUACAAAAUUUAAGGAGCACCAAAAUACUCCAUAAUUAAUGAUAUUUUAUUAACAUAUUUGAUAGAAACAAAAUACAAGAAAAAUGCAUCAUGAGUGAAAUAUCAAAAUAAAAGCAGGGUCCCUAUUACUGAUUUUCCCUUUUGCCUUAGGUUCCAAUGCCACUGUCACUGAUCCUGGCCUUGUUAGUUUGAAUAUUAUCAACCCCAACUAGUCCUUCCCUUCUAAACCCCCAUUUCAGCCAAGUAAGCAUACUCCCUGCCCUCCAGAUGGUUCGUCAUUAUUUAUUUGACUCUGAGAAACAGCAGAGAGUGAUAAAAGCAGCUUCUUUAUAUAAGUGAUGGGUUUUAGCAUGAUGGAAAAAUCUAUAAUGGGCACUUUGUAUGCUAGGCGUGGUAGUCAUAAUUCUGAAAUAUUUGUGAUAGGCUUUCACUAUCUUCUCUGAGAAGAAUGAAAAAGAAAAACAAUGCCUGCAUAGUUCCUCUUAUAAAGCUCCUGCAUAUAAUACAGCUCCUGGACUAAACAAUAUCUUUGGCCUCUAACACCAGGUUCAAUACAGCUUAGCAGUGACCUUGGUCCAAGACGACGGCCUGAUUUCAGUUCCUUCUUGACAGAUGUCCGUGUACUAAUUGGUACCCAGGUGACAGCAUCAUGAAGCCAACCAGGAGGAAUCAAAUGUGAGCAGUAACCCACGGACAUAACUUAAGAUCAUCUAUGUGGUUGAAACCAGGCAUGUGAAGCUCUACUUUCCUUUGCUUCCUGAAAUGUAAGGGGGAAACGGACUGCUUCCCAUGGUCUCACUGUCAUGAUAACUUAAGGCAGAAUGCUCUUGGUGUUCGUGUAGGAAUAAGGGGCAACAGUGAGCUUAUGUUCCACAUAUGAUUGAUGUUCAGUGGAAACCAAACGUCAGGGAAGCUUUUCUUCAUGCCAACAUUUGGAAGCAAAGCUCUUCGUUUACGUGCCUAACACCUUCAAUCAGAUUCACUGUUAGGUAAAGAGCAUAGGGUCAUCUUCUCAAAGGGAAGAAAGAAUUGGGAACGAGAGAGGACGGGGCAGGUGAAAGAAGAAUGGAGAAAGGAAGUACAUGGUGUAAAUACAGAUAAUAGUUGUAAAAGUCCGUUAUCACAUCUGCUUUUUUUUUUUAGUAACUUCCAACAACAGAUUAUAUUUUCUGAAGAAAAAGAGGAUUUAAAGAAAAUUUCUUCUACUUCAACAAGAUAAUGCACCUCUGUGCCGAGCUUAGUGACUGGCCCAUGUGACGUGAGGAGAUGCUGAUUCACAAAUCACCCUCUUUUUUCUCCUUCUCUGGAAGGUAAAACGAAUCCUUCUUUGCCCUCCUUUCUUUUCCAUAUUUUCCAGUGCUAUGGAAAUGCUUUCUCCCUUAGAAUUAUGACUGUAUCUCUACCUUCAAACCCAGAGCUUCUCUAGUAUUUUUUCCUAAUGGACAAAAACCACAAAUUAAAGAUAACUCCAACUAUGGUUUUGCAUAUAAUGCUAAAUUUAAAAAAAUCAGGUAACGAAUUUUGAUACAUUCUCUGUCCCCUGACCUCUGACCAUAAUUUUCGGUUUGAUCCUACCAUUACAGGCAAUAAUUAAGCAUUUGUAAAUUGUUUUGUUACCAGUCUAUGUGUAAAGUCUUGUGAUUUGAAAAGAAUCACUCACCCACAAAAGGGGUUCGCUUCCAAACUGCUCUUCAGCAGAUGUUUAACUAUAUGCUGAUAAGGGCACUCUUAGCAGUUUCUCUUCACAAAAAGCCAUUAUUCCUUUCAAGGAAUGGCCAUUUAAGCCACUGAAACAAGCCUAUUACAUAUACUUAUUUAUUUGCUUUCUUCCUGAUUGUUUCAUGCAAUCGGCAAAUAAAUCAUACAAAAAUAGUGUGACUCCUUAGUAUAUAAUUUCCAGAUGUCAUGUUAGGCAAUAGAAAUAUUUCAUUCCUAAGUUUAAACAAAGAUAUAAUCAUUUUCAAUAGCUUUGAAAAUUGUACAUUCUCAAAGAUGCCAUAAUCAU